rnacentral:rRNA from 1 species
UCGAACGAUGGAGCCCUUCGGGGUGGAUUAGUGGCGAACGGGUGAGUAACACGUGGGCAAUCUGCCCUUCACUCUGGGACAAGCCCUGGAAACGGGGUCUAAUACCGGAUAACACUCUGUCCUGCAUGGGACGGGGUUGAAAGCUCCGGCGGUGAAGGAUGAGCCCGCGGCCUAUCAGCUUGUUGGUGGGGUAAUGGCCUACCAAGGCGACGACGGGUAGCCGGCCUGAGAGGGCGACCGGCCACACUGGGACUGAGACACGGCCCAGACUCCUACGGGAGGCAGCAGUGGGGAAUAUUGCACAAUGGGCGAAAGCCUGAUGCAGCGACGCCGCGUGAGGGAUGACGGCCUUCGGGUUGUAAACCUCUUUCAGCAGGGAAGAAGCGCAAGUGACGGUACCUGCAAAAGAAGCGCCGGCUAACUACGUGCCAGCAGCCGCGGUAAUACGUAGGGCGCAAGCGUUGUCCGGAAUUAUUGGGCGUAAAGAGCUCGUAGGCGGCUUGUCACGUCGGAUGUGAAAGCCCGGGGCUUAACCCCGGGUCUGCAUUCGAUACGGGCUAGCUAGAGUGUGGUAGGGGAGAUCGGAAUUCCUGGUGUAGCGGUGAAAUGCGCAGAUAUCAGGAGGAACACCGG